AGCAGCCGCGGUAAUUCCAGCUCCAAUAGCGUAUAUUAAAGUUGUUGCAGUUAAAAAGCUCGUAGUUGAAUUUCGGGAUCAAUAUGUUGGUCGUGCCUUGGGUACGUACUGGUUUAUUGGUUUCUUCCUUCUGACGAACCAUGAUGUCAUUAAUUUGGUGUCUUGGGGAAUCAGGACUGUUACUUUGAAAAAAUUAGAGUGUUUAAAGCAGGCUCACGCUUGAAUACAUUAGCAUGGAAUAAUGAAAUAGGACGUUUGAUUCUAUUUUGUUGGUUUCUAGGAUCGACGUAAUGAUUAAUAGGGAUAGUUGGGGGCAUUAGUAUUCAAUUGUCAGAGGUGAAAUUCUUGGAUUUAUUGAAGACUAACUACUGCGAAAGCAUUUGCCAAGGAUGUUUUCAUUAAUCAAGACGAAAGUUAGGGGAUCGAAGACGAUCAGAUACCGUCGUAGUCUUAACCAUAAACUAUGCCGACUAGGGAUCGGAUGAUGUUAAUUUUUAAUGACUCAUUCGGCGCCUUACGG
rnacentral:rRNA from 1 species